UACGUAGGGUGCGAGCGUUGUCCGGAAUUACUGGGCGUAAAGAGCUCGUAGGUGGUUUGUCGCGUUGUUCGUGAAAACUCACAGCUUAACUGUGGGCGUGCGGGCGAUACGGGCAGACUGGAGUACUGCAGGGGAGACUGGAAUUCCUGGUGUAGCGGUGGAAUGCGCAGAUAUCAGGAGGAACACCGAUGGCGAAGGCAGAUCUCUGGGCCGUAACUGACGCUGAGGAGCGAAAGCGUGGGGAGCGAACAGG
rnacentral:rRNA from 1 species